ACAUAUUUUUGAUAAUGCAUUUCUGAAUAUGAGAAUAGAAAUAUAAAAGGCGCUUCGAAUUUAGUUCUCAUUCAUCGAAAAACAUGAUAAUAAUGGCGCUCCUUAAUCUUGUCUUAUUUCUUCUCACUACUAUUUUACAAAAUAUACCAGGAGUAAUGGAACCGCUAACUCAAUUACUUCAAAGUCUUUUGCCAGUACUUCGAAGUCUACAGAGUUAUUUAGAAAACUUGGGUUUAAACUUAAAUAGUACUUCUACUGGUACAACUACCACUGCUGCACCGUCACUUUUACCACGCAUAACUUUGCCUCGCGUUACCGGAUAAAAAAAUCAGGUUAGACCGUCAUUCUUAUAUUUUUCGAUCGCUAAUGAAAACUGACAAAUCUUAAACGAUGGGAAUUAAAUUUAAACAAUGAAUUUAAUAAAGAAGUUAAAAUAUUAUAGAUCAAAAUCAAAUAAUACGAGAUACAAUUUAUUCAUCAUUACUGAAGAAAUUGAAAUGAUAAAAAAUUCCAGUGAAUGAUUUUGCACAUUCUUUUAAACAGUAAAAAGAUAUUUUAAAUUAAGUCAAUUGAAAUACCUGUUCAUAAAAUUGACAAUAUAAUACCAUAUGUUUAAUAUAAUGUACCUAUAUUAAAUAUUGAAAUUAUAUUAAAGACCAAUAUAAUGUAAAAAGAAAUAAAAUUGAAGAUAUUAAAAUAAA